CCGCGUGAGCCGAUGAAGCCCUUCGGAGUGUAAAGCUCUUUCGACGGGAACGAUAAUGACGGUACCCGAAGAAGAAGCUGCGGCUAACUACGUGC
rnacentral:rRNA from 1 species